CCUGGCGGCUUUAGCGCGGUGGUCCCACCUGACCCCAUGCCGAACUCAGAAGUGAAACGCCGUAGCGCCGAUGGUAGUGUGGGGUCUCCCCAUGCGAGAGUAGGGAACUGCCAGAC
rnacentral:rRNA from 2 species